AAUGAACGCUGGCGGCAGGCCUAACACAUGCAAGUCGAGCGAGCGGCGGACGGGUGAGUAAUGCCUAGGAAUCUGCCUGGUAGUGGGGGAUAACAACAGGAAACGGUGGAGAAUACCGCAUACUAUCGGAUUAACACAUAGGGGAUUAGCGAGUAGGUGGGGUAAAGGCUAACCAAGGCGACGAUCUCUAUCUGGUCUGAGCGGAUGAUAAGCCACACUGUUACUGCGCAACGGCCCAGACUCCUACGGGAGUAAGCAUUGGGGAAGAUUCCACAAUGGGCGCAAGCCUGAUGCAGCAAUGCCGCGUGUAUGAAGAAGUCCUUAGGGUGGUAAAGUACUUUCAGCGGGGAGGCGUUACCCGCAGAAGAAGCACCGGCUAACUCCGUGCCAGCCGCCGCGGUAAUAC
rnacentral:rRNA from 1 species